rnacentral:rRNA from 1 species
UACGUAGGGACCAAGCGUUGUUCGGAUUUACUGGGCGUAAAGGGCGCGUAGGCGGCUUAACAAGUCACUUGUGAAAUCUCCGGGCUUAACUCGGAACGGCCAAGUGAACUGUCAAGCUAGAGUGCAGAAGGGCAAUCGGAAGUUCUUGGAUGUAGCGGUGAAAUGACGUAGAUAUCAAGAGGAACACCCUGAGGUGAAGACGGGUUGCUGGGCUGACACUGACGCUGAGGCGCGAAAGCCAGGGAGCAAACGGG